rnacentral:tRNA from 1 species
GCCGACGUGGCGGAACUGGCAGACGCGCCAGACUCAAAAUCUGGUGGCCGCGAGGCCGUGUGGGUUCGACCCCCUCCGUCGGCACCA